GGCAACUUGGCCGAGUGGUCUAAGGCGCUGGAAUUAGGUGUCUAACCAUCCAGUCCUCCGGGGCGUGAGUUCGAACCUCACAGUUGUCA